GACGAACGUUGGCGGCGUGCCUAAUACAUGCAAGUCAACUGAAAUACCGGUAGCAAUACUGGUAUGGAGGUGGCGCACGGGUGAGUAACACGUAGGUAAUCUGCCUUCAGGUCUGACAUAACCCAUCGAAAGGUGAGCUAAUAUCAGAUGAUGCAGCGGCUUGACAUCAAGACAGUUGUUAAAGCUUCGGCGCCUGAAGAUGAGCCUGCGUCUGAUUAGCUAGUUGGCGGGGUAACGGCCCACCAAGGCUGCGAUCAGUAGCUGGUCUGAGAGGAUGAUCAGUCACACUGGAACUGAGACACGGUCCAGACUCCUACGGGAGGCAGCAGUAAGGAAUAUUGCUCAAUGGCCGAAAGGCUGAAGCAGCAACGCCGCGUGAGGGA
rnacentral:rRNA from 1 species